ACGGAAGGCAGCAGUGGGGAAUAUUGCACAAUGGGGGAAACCCUGAUGCAGCGACGCCGCGUGAGUGAAGAAGUAUUUCGGUAUGUAAAGCUCUAUCAGCAGGGAAGAUAAUGACGGUACCUGACUAAGAAGCGCCGGCUAAAUACGUGCCAGCAGCCGCGGUAAUACGUAUGGUGCAAGCGUUAUCCGGAUUUACUGGGUGUAAAGGGAGCGUAGACGGCUGUGCAAGUCUGAAGUGAAAGCCCCGGGCUCAACUCGGGAACUGCUUUGGAAACUGUAUAGCUAGAGUGCAGGAGAGGUAAGUGGAAUUCCUAGUGUAGCGGUGAAAUGCUUAGAUAUUAGGAGGAACACCAGUGGCGAAGGCGGCUUACUGGACUGUAACUGACGUUGAGGCUCGAAAGCGUGGGGAGCAAACAGGAUUAGAUACCCUGGUA
rnacentral:rRNA from 1 species